GAUGAACGCUGGCGGCGUGCCUAAUACAUGCAAGUCGAGCGAACAGACGAGGAGCUUGCUCCUCUGACGUUAGCGGCGGACGGGUGAGUAACACGUGGAUAACCUACCUAUAAGACUGGGAUAACUUCGGGAAACCGGAGCUAAUACCGGAUAAUAUAUUGAACCGCAUGGUUCAAUAGUGAAAGACGGUUUUGCUGUCACUUAUAGAUGGAUCCGCGCCGCAUUAGCUAGUUGGUAAGGUAACGGCUUACCAAGGCAACGAUGCGUAGCCGACCUGAGAGGGUGAUCGGCCAAACUGGAACUGAGACACGGUCCAGACUCCUACGGGAGGCAGCAGUAGGGAAUCUUCCGAAAUGGGCGAAAGCCUGACGGAGCAAAGCCGCGUGAGUGAUGAAGGUCUUCGGAUCGUAAAACUCUGUUAUUAGGGAAGAACAAAUGUGUAAGUAACUAUGCACGUCUUGACGGUACCUAAUCAGAAAGCCACGGCUAACUACGUG
rnacentral:rRNA from 1 species